ensembl:lncRNA
CUUUUAGUUAAAAACACGAUGUAACAUUGAUGGGUGGAGGUCUAACAUGUGAAACACUUAAACCACUUCUACACACAGAAACUUUUGGCUUAUUCAGACCAGUUUGGCAGCGCUGUUUUUGGGAGAGGUGUCAGUAAAGGUUCUUGAUGGAGGGCAGCAGCUUCACACUCACACAGACGGAAACUAAUUCCACUACUGCCGGUACAACACAACAUCCCCAGAGAGACAGCAGCAGGAUCCCGGGCCCUCCUUCAUCAGGCAGAUAUGUCCUCUGGGUCCUGCUCGAAAAAAGAAAAAAAGUGAAGAAAAAAGCUUCAGAAGUAUCACUGAUUAUAAACCAGUGUGUGAGGGUUUGUGUGGAAAGAAG